UGAGCAUGCCACCUUGGAAAUGACUCCCCAGUCCUAGUGAAAACUCCAGAAGACUGCAGCCUUCGCUUGCAUGAUGGCUGCAACCUCAUGAACAAAUCAAGUCAGAACCUCCCCACGAAAGCCGCUUCCCAGGUUUCUUGCUGACAAGUCAAGCGAGCAGCCACCAAACUUGAAGGAACACAAUGUUCCAUAAUAGUCCGCAACAUUCACAUCCUGCUGGUUAGAGGUGAUUCUUGUGAGGCCAGGAAUCUGGCUUCUUGGGCUGCCUUCUGAGGGCCGUGAAUUGGAGCCUUCACUCCGUAUCCAUCUCAUCGACCAGAAGCUUCAACACUGAAGGCCUAUGUGUAUUUCCUGUAGAACAUUUUCUGAGACCCACCCUUCUUUAUUUGGAACAAAUUGUUCUCUAUACUACGUGGCCAUAGCAUUAGCCUUUCUUCCAUGGAUGCUUUUAUUUUCAGCUCGACUUCCUUUAGGAUUUGUACUUUGUUUUCUCCUCAGAACUGAGUUUCCUAAGUGAUAACUUUGUCUGAUCAUAUUUCCACUACUGAACAAAACAAUUCUA